UUGUCUAACCACAAAUCCAAAAGACAACUCGAGACAGGACAGUCCGUCCCUCUUUUAUAGCCUGUCAGUGUCCCUCUCUAUGCAAAGUGAACUUCCUCACAGUCUGCUAUAAAGACUUGAUAUCAUGCUGUCAGCUGCAGCAGAAGAAGAGAAGCUCCAUCAGGUCACCUUCAACACCAACCAUGUUCUCUGUAGCUCUGCUGCUGCUGCUGGCUGCUGGAUCCUGUGUGAAGUGUGAGCAGCUGACACAGCCAGCCUCUGUGACUGUGCAGCCAGGUCAACGUCUGACCAUCACCUGUCAGGUCUCUUAUUCUCUUGGCUCCUGGACAGCCUGGAUCAGACAGCCUGCAGGGAAAGGACUGGAGUGGAUUGGGAUGAAAAACACUGGAAGUUCAUACUACAAAGAUUCACUGAAGAGCAAGUUCAGUAUCGACUUAGACUCUUCCAGCAACACAGUGACUCUGAACGGACAGAGCGUGCAGCCUGGAGACUCUGCUGUGUAUUACUGUGCCAGAGACACACUGUGACACACACCAUCAGUAGAGCUGAACAAAAACCCCUCAGAGCCUGAACACUUGUAACAUGAAGCCACCAGAGGAGGAGCCCUCAGACCAGAAAUGAUCUCAACACCAGCUCACUGUUACAGUCAAGAGGGAAAGAGUACUAAGAUGUCAGAAAUAUUCUUAACUUAAUUCAACAGAAAGGGUUUUCACCAAUUUAAACAAUCUGACAUUACAAUCACUGAUACUGUAAAUCAUUGUAGGUAUAACAUCUAAAAGGGAAAGUAAGACCAUAAGUUUGUUUUAAAAGUGUCUGAUAAUAUAGUAGAUUCCUUUCUAUAGUAGAAUGGGAUUCUCUAAAAGACAAUUCCUAUUAAAUAAUUAUUCAAUAACAUAUGUAAAAGACAACUUUAUCAGUGUCAUAACUGGAUUAGGAGAAUCAUUCAUAUUUUAAUCCAACUUCAUGAUGAUGUUAAUUUGAUAAAACUAUAGAAAAGUUUGUUUUUAUAAUCUAAAUCGUGUUGCUCAACCUUUUCUACGUGAUUAA